UCAGUCUGGAGCGAUGGGCGUGCUUGAUCGGAAAUCUAGCAGGGCUUCCCCCGACGGGGGCCGUCCGGUCGCACGUCGUCUGUCGCACCCGACGCAUUUGUCUCCCGCCCGAAGGACGCCGCAGCCGGUUGGGUAGCUGCAAGCGCGACGGCCAGAAAGUCGGAGGAUGGCAGGUGGCCGGUGUGGGGGUUCGUCCCCUUCUCCGGUUGUUAGCCGCUCCGUCGGUGGCUCGUCACUCGACCGAGGUGUCACGAGGCCCUUCGGGGCUCUCUCGUCUCCUCCCUCGUUGGAUGUCGGGACAGAGCGUCGCAGGCGCGCUUCCGUGCCGGCCGCACACCCCCAGGUGUGGGCCGGUGGGAGGAGAGUGCCGUUGGCGAUGCCGGGCCCGUUGGAGGCUGGAGGCUGGCGGCGAGUAGGUCGGUCACCCACCCGACCCGUCUUGAAACACGGACCAAGGAGUCUAACAUGUGCGCGAGUCAAUGGGUCUUGAACAGGCCCAGAGGCGCAAUGAAAGCAAAGGUCGUCACCAGGUCGACCGAGUUGGGAUCCCCGCCUUCGUGGUGGGGCGCACCAACGACCCGUCCUAUCCGGCUCGCCGGUUGGGCGGAGUGUGAGCGUACACGUUGGGACCCGAAAGAUGGUGAACUAUGC
rnacentral:rRNA from 1 species